CGUCAGGCGAUCCGACCGACACACCCCCACCCCCGCUAUUUUGGGUCGAAACCUGGAGAAAAUCAGCGUCCCCCCCUCCGGCGUUCCCCCAGCCCCUCAGGCCGGCGCUGUGGGGGCGGCAGCGGGGCGGCCGUGCCCGCCUGUCGCCUCGCCGGUGGCGAGCGGGUUAGUCAGGAGCUGGUGGCAGCGUAGGGAAAAGGGCGGGGGGGAUGCCCACAAAAACUGACAGGAUCCCUCUGUUAAAGCGAUUAAAAGUGUUUCUAUCUACUCCGGGUCAGCCGCCGGGGUGAUCCGCGCCGACACCCGGCGCGGCUCCCCAACUCUCCCGGGGGGUUGAGGGCGGUCGGCAGCCUGAGGGGUGGCCGCCGGCUCCUCGCUGCCCGCCGGAGCCUUAAACUGAAUUGACAAUUAAAAGCGAUUCUCAUUAAUGCUCUCCCCACGCUCCCGGUGCCGGCGUCGAGCCACUCCUGCCCUCAGAUCCCAGCCCCGGUGGCCAGAUCCUGCCGGAGAACCCGGACUGAAAAGAGCGAUUCAGCACAGCGGUAGCGACACAUCAGGACAAACCCUGGAGCUGAACGACGCGAUGCUCGGUCGGACCGAACGCCCUUGUGCAAGAAAAACUGCGAAGAGCUCCAUGCUGCUGGGAGCAGCAACAAAGGCAAUAACGGGCAGGCAGGUGCCGCGGGCUGGCUGUUAAAGGGUGAGUUUCCAGCCCAGCUGACACAUGCCAUUGGUUAGGGAGCCUGCAAAUCCAGCCGGGCGAGUGGGAGCUGCUGGGUGCUCAGUGUGAUGGCACCCACCUCCCCCGGGAGAUCCCACCUUGGCAGGCUCUGCACAGCCCUCCCAGCGGGUUCACUGCUGUCACCCACCGAGGCCCAAAGCAUCGCGGGUACCCGGAGGGGAGCAGACCAGCUGCAUCACAGGACCUACAAUAAUUAGCACUGCUGAAUCAAGUGCUGAGGAUUACCCUGGCUAAUUAGCACCGGCAGGGCAUCACACUGGUACAGCCCUACUCUGCUGGGGAAUUAAUAGCUUUACGUGGGGGAAGUCCUUCCUUGCACUCAGUGCUCCCAAUCUCCUCAUUCAUCUGUGCCCAGCCCGAGCGUCUCAUACAGUCGCCUCGCUCUGCCAUUUGAAUUUAUUUUUUUCUCUUCCAAAUACCAACUACUGCAAGACUCGAAAAGAAAAUUUCUAAAAACCUUGGCGAGCGUCAAGUGCAAAACCAAGAAAGGGCCUCAGCCCAGCACCAAAGCCCACACAAGCCCUGGGCCAGAGCACAGAGGACAGAUUCCUCUGCUUCAGCUCCACAUUCCCAUUAUCUACCUGUGAGCGACUCCUCCAAAAGCCCAAGCGACUCGGUUUUAUUGGAAUAACAGUCACACAAAGCAUGCCUCAAAUUCGCACCAGGCAUAUAUCCAACUGACAGCAAGCGCCGGAGAGAUGCUCUAACAUAUGUGGUAACAUCUAGUUCACAGGAAGGGAAUUUGGUAUAAUCAAACCAAAAAGAUUUAUGCUCCAGGUGCUCCUGCACGCAUCUGGAGAGGAGAAAGCAGCAGCAACAUGAGAUUGAUCUAAUCAGUCAGUCAGCACAGCUUGUGUGUCAAAUAUUUGUGAACGCUGCUAAGUGUAAAUAAAAAAUAUUUUAAAAUAAUAGCAGCGAAUAAGCUAAAGGCUGCCAGAAGGGGAGCUAGCUGCAGCAUUUUCUCAGUUCACAAGGGGUAAACAGGUCAAACCGUGCACCGGGUCGCAGGCUCCCCGCGCCAGCGGGGCUCUGCGGGAGCAAGAUCUCCAGCAAAACCGGAUUUGGGGAUUUGAUGGGAAUUAUUUGUAAGCGCGCGCCGGGCAUCCGAGGUCUCCCAUGCUGCCCGGCUCUAAAGCCUGGCAGGUCAAAAACAGAGAUUUAAAAAGCAGGUUUAUUCUGGUUGUACUGUGUCCUGCAGCUCAGGAUGGAAACUUGCUUUUGUGGUAACGUUAAAUCACCGUCAUAUCCGUGGCAAACAAGGGAGUAUUUGCAAGAUCCAUAUUGGAAAUGGUGGACCAGCAAUUGGUCGACUUUGUCCCUUUUUUCUUCUUUUUUUUUUUCCCAAAUAGAGACAAGCAAUAACCCACCACAGAUCCCAGCUUGUGGAUUCUGUAAAAUAGUAUCCUUUUUUAUGUAAAUUCUUUUAUGGGAUUAGUAUUUCCUAUCUUCUUGGAAAAUGAAUAUUUAUAGUCUAAAACACCCCACAAAUGUCUGAUUUCUCAGUAUAGAACAAUCAGACUUUUUGAACUAGGCAGUGCUUUAGAGGGCUUUAUUUUUUCUGCUUGGAUCUGUUUCAACCAAGUCAAAGUCUUUUCCAGAAUAUGGUAUUUUCUGCUCCUGGAUAGUCUUCACGGUAUGCUGCAAGUGUAAAAUUGUAAAUUUUAAAUAAGUGGUAGUGGGAUGUUUAUUACUUUCAAGAACACAACUGACAAAACGCUCCCCAAAAAAAUGCUGCGAUAUCCACAGGGCCAGAGCUGAUGGUUCCUGAUUUCACAUCCCAAUAUCCCAGCAGAGGCAACAGGAAUUGCGAGAGGUGCUCCAGAGGGGGACUCGCAGCAGAAACUGAGCUCAGCUCAGCCAUGAUAUCCACUUUAUUUUAUUAUUUUUUAGACAGUGGCAAGCACUGGGACUCCUUCAACAGAGAUCCGGCUUUCUGGUGCGCAGCACAAAUCGUUUAACUAAUUAUUCAUUGACUGUCUAAUCAAUCCUGAUUGAAUUAACUGAUAGCUGCAGCUUGAAGGGAUGAAGAUAAGUAGCGAGGACACAAUGCAGAUUGUUACAAGCAUUUCCAAGCUCAGUGCCUGCAGCUUAAUUCAGCUGGGAGCUUUGAUUGAAACACAGCAAGAUAGCAAAGGGAAAGGCCCCAGAGAAGCUGCUUUGGUAUUGUCUCCAAGUACGUACUGAAAGGGACGCCCUCAUCAAGGAGAACCAAUAAUUAGUAUUUAAAGUGGGUGCACACAAACCCGGAGAAGUCACUGCUGUGCUCCUGAUGGCAGGGCUGUCCCAGCAGCAAUCCCUGACCCACUGGGGACGGAGCAGUGGGCCCAGUCUCUGCUCCAAGGGGCACAGAGCCCUGGCUGGAGCUUUUGGGAGCUCACGCGCAGCCGGAGGGCAGCCAGAUUGGGGAGCAGGGGACAGAGAGGAUGCGGGAUCUCCAGGCUCCGAGACAUCCAGAAUUGCCUGGACAAGAGCAGAGCAGCCUGACCCAGAGGUGGGACCAGAGGCACCGAGGUGCCCGCAAACCUCAACUCACCUGUGAAUCGACAGAUUUAUUGUCUAGUAACUCUGCACCCGCCGCGGGCCGAGGUCCAGCAGUGCCUCUGUGCCACCUCCAGCAGCUCCCACAACCUUCUGCGUCCCCACCUUGCCGAGCAUCACCCUUCCUAAACGUGGCAGGAGCCAAGGACCGCUGGCCCUUUGUCCCCAGGCUCCCAGGAACGGGGAUGCAAACACUGCCGAGCCCGCCCUGUGGCUUUCCAGGGCGCCAGGACUCCUGGUGCAAAGGAGUAUUUUGAUUAUUUCCGUUCAAUAAAUCAGAAAAACAUUUCAGGUUAAAGUUGCGUGGAGAUAAGAGAUUGCUUCUGCGUGUCCAGAAGGAGGGUAAGCGUUUGGGGAAAGCCCUGCUCGUGUGAAACUCGCCUCCAACCAUCAGCGGUUCCAGUCGUGCCGUGUUUUAUAGGUCUGCAAAAGAGCAAGCCUGCGGACACACGUGUAGGGCACCCCCUUUUUAUUGUACGAUUCUCCAGUCCCCCCACACGCAGCCCUGAGCCCUCGGGGGAUCCGUUUGCAUUAGCGAUGUUUCCUGCUCGGGUUCCACAUUUUUCUCGAUCGUUUCAUGUUUGCGGUGGACAACCCAGCGAAGAGGUGACGUGUCCCCUAACGUCAUCGACAGGAGGAGCCUUAAAGCAAACGACCACCGUCUGGGAUUGAUCUUACUUCACUUGUUAACUAGUCACACAGAUCAGCGAGGAAUUUGAAGUCUCAUUUCUAGCUAGGCAAAGGCUUUGUCUUAUUUCUACGAGAGAAGCUGUGUAGCGUAGCCAACAAAAAAAGUUUCCGUGAAAGAACUCUAAAAAAACGUGGGAAUCAUUUCCCCAUUUUCUGCUUACCCCAAGAUCCAGCGUUGCUUUGAUAGGUCGUGCUGGGAUGUGGUUUGUGUCCUCAUCUUCAAUCCCAGGACAAGAACUCACUUUUGCAGGACUCAUUUCAGCCUGGAGCAAGCAGCACUUCUGUAAUUGCACUUAAUUUAGUGCAAUUAAGCGUGAUUGACAAUUUCUUUUCAGGAAAGACUGUGAACGAGGCAUGAUAGGAGAAUAAAUAACUUUUCUCACCUAGCAAAGCUGGCUUCCCCCAGGCAGGGCAGCUCAUUAGCAGAACCAGGCAGGGAUGAUGAAGCAGAAGUCAGCUGCAGACAGACAUCCCCACCCCUUCAUCAUCAGAAAUGCAAAUGUUCCCACAUAUAGGGCAGGACAGACGCAAAAAAAAAAAAAAAAAAAAAAAAAUAAAAAAUCAGAGUUUUCCAUAUAUUUUAAUUGAAGGAGAUUCACCUCUAAUGCCAGCCUGAUGCUCAGAGCCUCAAUCAGCACGUGAUGGCGAGAUGGAUCCCUGCUCGACCCAGUAUGUGGCAUAAAACUACCGAAAGUUUUUCACACUGACUUGCCAAAAUGGGAUCUGCAUGGCCAGCAAGCUCCACAAAAGCUGGUAAAGGCAACCAAAUUCUCUGAUUCGCUGUGGGCUGGGUACAUCUGGAAUGAUUCAAAAGGCUCUUUGUUUUCUAAUGCUUUAAUUACAGUUAUCCUUCUUUUUCAUUUACUGCAUUAUUGUGCCACCAUUCCCACGCUUUCCAGCACAGCUAUUUUACAACCAACAAAACAGUAGCUCCAAAAUGAACAACCUGCUAGGAGAGAGCAGCUAUAGCAGAAGUCUCUUUCCCUAAUCAUCCUUUCUAACAAAUCUCUGAAAUCCCAUGAUCUUCUGAAUGCAUUUUGAACCUGACGGAAAGCCAGUGACGGUAUUAGGAUGACAUCAGAAUAAUUCUUGCUUAAAUAUACUAAAUUUGAUUCAGUCCUCUUCCUCUCAGCUAUCGUGGUGUGAGCCACCGGGAGCUAACAGACAUUGAAAAAGCCCAGAUUUUCCUGCCUGAGGAGAAAACGGGGCUCGGCCUCUCCGCUCCUCAGGCCAGGCUUUGCUGAUGCCACCCCCAGGAAACCUUCACACCGCAGAAGGGAAAAUCGCUUUCCCUCCUGAGCCUGGGAGAGGUCUUCAGGGCUGAGCAGGUCGGUCCAAGGCGUAGCAAAGCGGGAUUUUUCUCAACUCCAUUUUUGUAUACAAACAACUUCUGCACACACAGAGUCAGUCUAAUACUUUAAGUCAUCACGUAAGCUUUUGUCUACAGUAUUUAGAAGACCUUAGUAUCUUUUAGCAAAACAGAGCAAGAAUUCCCUUCUCCCUUUUUUGUGUUUUAUUAAAAAAGUAGGUUCCAUUUCCUCUUAAGCUAUCCGCAUGUUCAAAUAAGGUUUCCAGAAGAGCUGAUAAUAAGAAGAUACGCUUCCAGAGAGAGUCACAAAACGGCCUGAAAAGAAAGUUUCCACUUCAAUGUGUCGUGGCCUGAUGUGAGACCUUUUAGGCGUGCUAAAACACCCGCUGGGCGCAACCACAGGAGAUGGGAACUCAAGAACUGUUGGUAUAAGGCACAACGUCCGGGACCGACAACCCUGCAGAUGCUGAGCAGCGUGCCCAAGGAGGACAGAAUUCACACCAAAGCCGUUACAAACAAAACUUCCUGGGUACUUGUAUGCACGGCUGCUGGAAAAUGAGGUUCCCUUGGGAAGUCUAACGUCUCGGGCGCUUGGGACAUCAUUUGCUUCCCUUCAGCGAUAUUUUUAGAAGAGAACGGCGCUUUGCUUGACAAGUGUUAACCAUUAAAGACUCUCUCAGGCUAUUGGUGAUGGAAUUUAUUUUCUUGUUCACUUAUAAAAAAUUAAGAACAACGACAACGAAAAAAAAAAAAAAAAAAGGCAAUUUGGAUUUAAUAUCUUCCUGCAGGGUAUUUAUUGUGCUCCAGGAUCGUUGUGUGAACUGAUAUACAGAUAUAUAUGUGGACACGCACACGGAGCUUGCUUACCCUUACGUUCCCACCCAGGUUGUAGUAAAACAGUUACCUCCAUCAGUAUUUUCUACCCGACUACAAGCAGCAACACGCCGGGUCCUUUUAACACUCACAUAACAGGAGAACAGCAGCUCAAAAACACAGACAAACCACUUCAAUUUCCUUCUUUCACGCUUUCACUGUAGCCUGAUGGAAAAUAAGGAAGAUCACAAAAUCCUUAACUGAUCUCAUUUUAGGGCUAGAGCAGUGUCAGAAAGAUUAAAUCCUCCUGGCCACAGCUUGCGAAGAAAUCCCAAACAGCGUGGAAGGUGUGAAAAAUGGGUUAUUAACUCCUGGUCUCGAUGUAACUUCUGUUGCUGCUCCAAACGUGCUCGCCUGAAUGUAAAUUGGGAUGCGUAUAGUAAAGUGCACAGGGAAUUGAGCAUGAGAACUGCUGUUAUUUUAAUGGGCAUUCUGAGCCCGAUUUCCUUCCCAGCGUGCAGAAAGGUAAUUGUCAGAGGUAGCACACAACUGUUACUGGAUUUUUUUUCCCCCCCUCCUCUAUUUAGAAGGAAAAAAAAUAAGCGCUGCUCCUUUUUCCAGUCUGAGCUGCAUCACCAGGACUGAGCUCCAGAGCCUGGGAUGGGCUCAUUCCAGAGGAAGGUUAGAAAAAAAAAAAAAAUAAAUAAAAAAUGUUUUCCCUUAUGACCCAGCCACAUCAACAGACACCAUACAAAAAAAGUUUCUAAGUCUGGCAGAUUUUAUGUAUCUAAUAUUUUACAGGAGUUUUCCUUCACAGGACUGCUUGGGGUUCAGUGCAAUGCUAGCGGUAAAAUAACUGAGUAUAGAGUGACAUCAGCUCAGGACAGAGAUGGAAAAAACAGCAAUAGGCUGCAGGACAGACAUGGAGGAUGAAACAAAAGAAGGAGAGGGAGCAGGACAAAAGCACGGAGAGGAAGAGUGGUAGAAGAAGAGAGAGAAAGGGGGAGAAGAAGAGGGAGCAGGACAGAGGAAUAGAGGAGAGGCAAAGGGAGGUGAAAAAAAAAAAAUUCUCAUCAGUGUGGGAAAGAGGCAGGUCAGGGGAGGGCCCAGAUCUGCUUAGGAUUCAGGCAGAGACAUACAAAAAUAGCAAUGCAUCCCGUUAAAAAAAAAAAAAAAAAAAAAGGAAAAUGGUGUAAGGUAAGAGGUGGUAAAUGUGGAGUCCAUCAUUAGAAGGCGCAUCACAGGCAAAUAUCUGAAGACGCAGAAUCAUUUUGAGAAACCAAUAAUAUUCCCAGUUGUCCUUGAGAGGAAAAAAAAUUUUUUUUUUUUUUCUGACCUCGCUUGGCAAUGGCAGCAUCCACAAAAAGCCAUCCUGAGAAAAGUGCAUAAAGCCUUGAGCCUGAGCUGAGAAUAUCGGUGUUAAAGACUUCCAGAAGGUGGAAAAAAGGUACCAGCAGAGCGUGAUGCCCUCGGGUGAGCAGUGAGGAGAACUGAGGACACCCCCCCGGGGUCGAUGCUAAAGGCGGUACACCGCAGCACAGCCAAAGCGGCUGUCUCUUCCAAUCUGGGCUUUAAAGCAUUUCUCUGCAGGACUGAAGUGUGAUUUUACGGGGCUCGUACGAACACCCCUGUCACACCCGCUCGCUGAAGGCAGCCCCCACGAAGACGUUUGCUCUCGGGCCUGUUUAAAUCUGACUUUGCAGGACUUCGAUACCUGGCACCGCGUGACAGAAAAGCUCCCUACGCAUCCCCCAAACAGCCUACAGAAAUACAGAGAGGGGGGAAAGAAAGAAAACAACACACCGCCCUCGGUGGUAUUAUAGAGCUCUAAAGAAGCUGUAAACUUUAAA